rnacentral:pre_miRNA from 1 species
AGGAAGGGGCGUUUGGAAUGUUUCUUUUUCUGUUGUAAUAUUGCACUCGUCCCGGCCUG